UACGGAGGGUGCAAGCGUUAUCCGGAAUCACUGGGUUUAAAGGGUGCGUAGGCGGCACUGUAAGUCAGGGGUGAAAGGCUGCAGCUCAACUGUGGAAUUGCCUUUGAUACUGCUGGGCUAGAAUGAGAUUGAGGUAGGCGGAAUGUGGCAUGUAGCGGUGAAAUGCAUAGAUAUGCCAUAGAACACCAAUUGCGAAGGCAGCUGACUAGCCCUUGAUUGACGCUGAGGCACGAAAGCGUGGGGAGCGAACAGG
rnacentral:rRNA from 1 species